AUUGAACGCUGGCGGCAGGCCUAACACAUGCAAGUCGAGCGGAUGAAGGGAGCUUGCUCCUGGAUUCAGCGGCGGACGGGUGAGUAAUGCCUAGGAAUCUGCCUGGUAGUGGGGGAUAACGUCCGGAAACGGGCGCUAAUACCGCAUACGUCCUGAGGGAGAAAGGGGGGGAUCUUCGGACGUUACGCUAUCAGAUGAGCCUAGGGCGUAUUAGCUAGUUGGUGGGGUAAAGGCCUACCAAGGCGACGCUGCGUAACUAGUCUGAGAGGCUGAUUAGUUACCCUGGAACGGAGACACGUUCCUGACUGCUACGGGAGGCAGCAGUGGGGAAUGUUCGACAAUUGGCGAAAGCCUGAUCCAGCCCUGCCGCCUGUGUUAAGAAGGUCUUCGGAUUUUAAAGCUCUUUUCGUUGGGAGGAAGGGUAGUAUGUUAAUACCUUGCUGUUUUGACGUUACCAACAGAAUAAGCUCCGGCUAACUUCGUG
rnacentral:rRNA from 1 species